rnacentral:lncRNA from 1 species
CAUCCAAUAUGUCCAGAUAUUGCAACUUAGAGGUGAAGAAGCCCAAAUAUCUAGCAACCAGCCUUCAUGGCCUCAUUUCACUCUAGCAGCUACUACUGAGCACUGCCAAUUUCACUACCCGGAAAAUCCGUAUUACUUCCUCACUGUUCAUUCAAUGGACUAUCCACUCAGGACUGAUCCUGAUCACACUUAUCUUUCUGUCUCACCUGCUGGCUUCCCCAUUGAUCUGGCUGAAGAGAACUCACUCAGGCUUGACUGGGCAUGGACUAUUUUUAGAUCUAUAGAAGCCAGCAGCAGUUGCCACCUAAUUGGGGUCGAGAUGAAAAUCCAAACGAAGCAGACAAAAGAAAUUUACCCUAAAAGUAAAUAAAAUGGUGUCUGAUAAAAAGCCACAGGCUCCAAAGACUCGAUGCUGUUUUCCCAAAAGAUGGACCAACCAUUGGUAGUUAAAAGUGUUUAUGCUACCAGUCAGAAGUACAGAAGUUAAAUGUAUUGUUUUUAAAUAUUUUAUAAUUUAUUGAUUUUUUAAGAAUAAACUUAAUUUUCACCAUUGCACAGUGGGGGUAUUUCCUAGGAAAAAGUUGGCC